UUGAGGAGGAAAUUGGCGUUUUGCAGUCUACCCUGAUUAGAGAUUGGCCCCAGAAUGAGAUUGACUCAUUCAACAAGGAAUUGGAUGGCAACUUCACAACUUGGGAGAACGAAAUUCAAACGAUUAAAUCUAGAAAAUAUCAUCGAGAUCAACAGGAUGCGUUAUCCAGUAGGAUUUAUAGAUGGCGUCAACAACCGUUACCUACAUUAAUUCGCACGGCUUCCAUGUCAUCAGUUGCUUCCACAAGUGCAGGUUCAUCCGUCUCAACCUCUCAGAGAUAUUAUUACCCCCGUGAGGCUCGGGACAGGAAGCGAAAAAUGGAGUAUGACAGCAACCGGAGGGCUCCGACAAAAAAACGUGGAAAUACCAACAAGAAUGACAACCAGUAAAAGAUUUGCACCUCUUUGCACACAAACUCACUUUCAAGAAAAUCUUUGACAAUGCACGCCCACAGACCACCGCUUCAACAUCAUUUGACUUGACCUGUACUGCUGACCAGCAAGUUACUCAGACCCUAAUGGAUUUACUCCAGGAACAGGAGAUGGAGACUGCCACAUCACAGGAAGGGAGGAAUUGUCCAGACUAUUACAACAAGCUGUUGACACGGGUGUCCUGACUGAAAAACAACGUGAUUCUCUGAUGCCAAAGGACCCUACGGUAGCAUCAAUUUAUUUGUUGCCCAAGGUCCACAAAAAUGCCAAAUGUCCCCCUGGCCGACCGAUUGUGUCAGGGUGCAAUAAUCUGAGUGAGCCAUUGUGCAAAUAUAUUGAUUUUUUUCUUUCUCCAUUAGUUGAGAACUUGCCGUCUUAUCUGAAAGACACCAAUGAUGUCCUACGGAAAAUUAAUCAUAUACAAUUGG